UGAGACUGUGAGUUUCAGAGUAAGGAAGAAAAAAUACUAUGAAAAAAAAAACACACAACCAAGACCCCUGACCUUAGAGCAAAUUUCCAGGUGAAAGCAACAGUUCAGAAGCUUUGCUCCUCCCAGGACUCGAUGUUAUUUCAGUUAGAGAUUUAUUCUUACUGGCAAGCACCUUAGUGAGAGCUAGAUUAGAUUGGUUUUUCCUAACACACUGCUACUUUCAUCUUCAUGGAAUCAUGGGAUGUUGUUUAAGAGGGGAGAGAAGAAAACAACCAGGGAAUAUGAGCAAUUUGAGGAAGGACGUUGGAGAAGUCAUAGCUCCAGAGCCUAGAGAAGUGCCUGGGUCAGAGCAGAGUCCCAGGAAGCAUUUGUGGAUGGAAUACAAGAACAAAUGAACAAAUGAAUUGCAGCCUGGCUGCCAACAGAAACGCUUCGGGAUUUGACCUGCUUCUUCCCCCUUCAGACAAUGUGGUUUGACUUUUCUUUUAUUAUGUUUGUUGAAAGCAAAAGUAAAUUCUAUUAAUCCAUUAUAAAAACAACAGGAGGUUUAUUAUUUCCAUGAGAAUCUCAUAGUUAUACAGAUCCAGGUAAGGCUUCAUCUAAGACAAGGAAUUGUCGGCCGGGCGCAG
rnacentral:lncRNA from 10 species